GAUGAACGCUGGCGGCGUGCCUAAUACAUGCAAGUCGAGCGAAUGGAUUAAGAGCUUGCUCUUAUGAAGUUAGCGGCGGACGGGUGAGUAACACGUGGGUAACCUGCCCAUAAGACUGGGAUAACUCCGGGAAACCGGGGCUAAUACCGGAUAACAUUUUGAACCGCAUGGUUCGAAAUUGAAAGGCGGCUUCGGCUGUCACUUAUGGAUGGACCCGGGUCGCAUUAGAUAGUUGGUGAGGUAACGGCUCACCAAGGCAACGAUGCGUAGCCGACCUGAGAGUGGGAUCGGCCACACUGGGACUGAGCCACGGCCCAGCCUCCUACGGGAGGCAGCAGUAGGGAUUCUUCCGCAAUGGACGAAAGUCUGACGGAGCAACGCCGCGUGACUGAUGAAGGCUUUCGGGUCGUAAAACUCUGUUGUUAGGGAAGAACAAGUGCUAGUUGAAUAAGCUGACACCUUGACGGUACCUAACCAGAAAGCCACGGCUAACUACGUGCCAGCAGCCGCAGUAA
rnacentral:rRNA from 1 species